UAUGAACGGAGGAAGAAGGAGAAUUUUCUACUUAAAUUUUAAAUUGAAUUGAAUUGGAAUUUUCAACAGAUACAAAUGGAAAGAAAUUGAUAAAACAUCCCUAGAAACCUACUUCUGCUACUUAGACUUAUUAAUGAAGUUAUAGGAUUUUGUAUAGAAUAUAAAAAGAAAAAUGAUUCCAUUUCUACCAUUAUUAUGAUAAUACAUAUUCCAACCUGCUUGAAUACCAGAAAAAUAAAUGGAUUGGACAUUUGAUCUUUUCGCUGAGAUAAAGGCAUAAAAAUCAGAAAGAAUAUAUAGAAUUAGAAUCGGUUUUUUAGCAUUUAACCCCCCUUUAUGUUAUGGAUUUCAUUGUUCAAAAAAUGAUUCGCAGAGAAGAGAGAUAUUUUGUUUACGGAUUUUUGAGUAGAAUACGAUUGUGAAGUGGAUAAGAAAAGAAGGUUUGUAUGGCUUAAACACGUGUGGAGAUAUCUAUAAUAUCUGUCUUUCUUCUCUUUUAUUGUUUUAUUGUCGUUUUAUGUUCUAUUCGGGGCAACACAGGUUGUGCUCUCCGAAAACAUAAUUUCAAUUUUCUAUUCAAUUCAAAAUUCAAAUUGAAGUAUGAUACUUUUCUGAUAUCUGAUAAUUCUAUAUCGGGAACAUAUAUAAAUAAUAUAUAUCCGUCUAACAAUUUAUCUUUUGGGGGGUUUACAUAUACUGAUAAUUGUUGUUAUAAUUAUUAUUAAUAAUGAAAAUUGAGAAGGAUUUUUUGAUUGCAAAAAUCCAUACUGAACUGAUUGGUUAUAUAUCAUAUAUCAAGUUGUAUUUUCUUAUGUCAUUAGGAAACCAAAAUUGGGAGAUUCAAAUCCAAGAAUCAUUCAUGCAUUCUAAGGCAAUAGUUACUGGGUCCUAUUUUCUGAAAGUUGAAUUUUGUAUUUUGCGAAUGAAAAUCCACAUUUGAUUUUUCAAUAGAAAGGUAAGAGAAAGUUUUGAACAUUAUGAAUUUGGAGAUAGACUCAAUCGAAAUUGAAAGGAUGAAUCAAACCCAAUCAAAAGGGAAGAAGGAUUAGGAUUUCUUUGACUUUUAGGAAAAAUUAAGGAAAACAGAACUCAAGGUGCAAGUACAAUAAAAAAGCAGUUCAGUAAUCCGGGAAAGUUUUCAUCUAUUUUGUAUUUGUAGCAUUUUGGCGACAUGGCCGAGUGGUAAGGCAGAGGACUGCAAAUCCUUUUUUCCCCAGUUCAAAUCCGGGUGUCGCCUGAUCAACAAAAAACUGGAAAUCUCUUUUUUUCUUCUGUUGAUAUAACCCGCCGAAUGAUUCGCCAGCAGAAGCAGAGAAAGCAGACUGUUGAUACUUGUUUUGGUCUGGGUGUUUUUAGAAAAAAUUGUAAAUAUCCUUGCAUUGCAUAUUUAGGCUUAGCUUUCAAGUAAAUAUUCGAAUGCUCGAGGGGCUAUCAAGACUUCGCAAUUACCUUCUACUACAAAUCAAAAUUUUCUAUUAUUAAUCCAUUGUAUAAUGACUGGACCUUGGAGAGCCCGAUAGGAAAUCGAAAUAGUUGUGGAAGGGGGCGGAAGAUACUUUAUUAUAUACGAGGAACUCACGAAAAUAUCUCAGUGCUCAAGCAUCCAAUCAAUUCAAAUGAGGGUCAACAAAAAAAGAAUAGGACCUAUUAUUCCUACAUGUUCCAUUAGUAACAUUCCCUUGAGAUGUUACUGCGGAUUUUGCUUGGGUUUAAUCUUUCCCGAUUAUAAAUCAUAUAGAAAUUUCUUAUAAAAUGAGCGAAUUUAUUGGAUUGGUUUAUUAAUAGUCUUCGUUCUUUUUGACUCUGCGCCAUUGAUUCUACUAUUAUUAGUGAGGAAUAAUGGAACAAUUCCUUUAUAUUUAUAGAGAUAGGGGACAUAAUUCAUAUGGAUAUAGUAAGUCUUGCUUGGGCUGCUUUAAUGGUAGUCUUUACUUUUUCCCUUUCACUCGUAGUGUGGGGAAGGAGUGGACUCUAGGGGUUCUGCUAAUUGAGUUAAGGAAGCAAACUGUAUCAUUAUCAAUUGCUUUCUAGAUGGUUCUGCAACACGUUUGGAACAAAAUAAAAAUAUCUUCAUUUUGAAAUUCCAUUGGACUCGACUGGAGUAAUGUAUUAUAGGAAUCAGCCUCUUUCAAUCAAAGAACUAUUUCAACGAUUCCCAUGUUUGUAGUUCGAAAGGAAAAGGAUCCCAGGAAAUUUAUUCGAACCUAAUUCUUACUAAAUUUUCUAUUCCAAUCAAUGGCCUCUUCCUAGGUGAUACUGAGGAGGGCCGGACCCGUUUUUUAUUUGGUUCUCUCUUUACUGUUCAAAGAAAAAGUGGUUUUGUUAAGUGUAUAAGCACUUUGUAUGAGAAAGAAAGGAUAUAAACAUAGUGGUUGUCUAACGAGAUACUAUUUAGAAUAAGAUCGUCAGGUGAGUCACAUAUUGCGCAUUUACCUUUCGAAUUUUGGAAAUUGGAUUUAGACUUUAUCGACUUAUUUCAUAUCAUGGUUCAGGCCUUAAAAAUCAGUGAGGUUUACUCUUCCUUUUCGAUGCCCGUGGAACUACUGUCAAUGGUUUACUUCUUAGGAAUGUUAAAAAAAAAAAGAUUACUACGUGAUUUUUUGAAUAUGCCUAUAUCUAUCGCUUUUGCUUCAUUGAUUUGAUUCUCUCAAUAGAUACUGAGAUUCAUAUUGGAAAUCAAAAAUAUAGUAAUUCAAACUAUAAGACAUAGGAGUAAUUCAGAUUGAUCAGAACAAAUAGAUAUAGCAAAUAAAUGGAAUUGGAUGCUAUGUCAAUCCCAUAUAUGGAAUUGAUAUUCACAUAUAUCAAGAUAAUAUUGUAGAUUGAUAUAUAGAUCCAUAUCAAAUGCAGCCUCUAUCUUUAUUUUAUUCCAGGGGGCAGCUUUAUAACAAGAAUCUAACUAAUAAAUAGUAUGGUAGAAAGAAAUAGAUGAAUCUUUCUACCAUACUAUCUAUCUAUUAGAAUACUGCCGAUUCUAGUCCACUCAUUUCAUUUAAGACAUGAAAUUGGAAUCUUUUUCAUUUUAUUUCGUCAAUUUUGGCUAAGAACUCAGAAGUCAAGUUUCAUUCAAAUUAGUUAAUAAUUAAUCGUUUUGACUGACUGUUUUUACAUAAAUGAUAAGUAGAAAAGCGGUAGGAACUAGAAUAAAUAGUGCAGUAGCAAUAAAUGCAAGAAUAUUUACUUCCAUAAUCUCAUCGGUUUUUUACUUCGCAAUAACUCGGGAUUUAAUCCCAUAGAGAUGAUAAAUCUUUGGCCUGUAAAUUCAAUGAAUGAAUAUUACCUCUCGAUGAUCUUGAAUCAGAUCAAUAUCAUGAAUAACAAUAUCUGAACUAUCAAAUAAAUUC
rnacentral:lncRNA from 1 species